rnacentral:rRNA from 1 species
UUAUGCAAGUCGAGGGGUAUAGUUCUUCGGGAACUAGAGACCGGCGCACGGGUGCGUAACGCGUAUGCAAUCUACCUUUUACAGAGGGAUAGCCCAGAGAAAUUUGGAUUAAUACCUCAUAGUAUGUGAGAAUCGCAUGGUUUUCACAUUAAAGUUCCAACGGUAAAAGAUGAGCAUGCGUCCCAUUAGCUAGAUGGUAAGGUAACGGCUUACCAUGGCGACGAUGGUAGGGGUCCUGAGAGGGAGAUCCCCCACACUGGUACUGAGACACGGACCAGACUCCUACGGGAGGCAGCAGUGAGGAAUAUUGGACAAUGGGCGCAAGCCUGAUCCAGCCAUGCCGCGUGCAGGAUGACGGUCCUAUGGAUUGUAAACUGCUUUUGUACAGGAAGAAACAACUCUACGUGUAGAGUCUUGACGGUACUGUAAGAAUAAGGAUCGGCUAACUCCGUGCCAGCAGCCGCGGUAAUACGGAGGAUCCAGCGUUAUCCGGAAUCAUUGGGUUUAAAGGGUCCGUAGGCGGUCUUAUAAGUCAGUGGUGAAAUCUCCCCGCUCAACGGGGAAACGGCCAUUGAUACUGUAAGACUUUGAAUUAUUAGGAAGUAACUAGAAUUNUGUAGUGUAGCGGUGAAAUGCUUAGAGAUUACAUGGAAUACCAAUUGCGAAGGCAGGUUACUACUAAUGGAUUGACGCUGAUUGGACGA